rnacentral:rRNA from 1 species
CUGCUGCCUCCCGUAGGAGUCUGGGCCGUGUCUCAGUCCCAGUGUGGCCGUCCACCCUCUCAGGCCGGCUACUGAUCGCUGCCUUGGUGGGCCGUUACCCCGCCAACUAGCUAAUCAGACGCGGAUCCAUCGUAUACCACCGGAGUUUUUCACACUGCCCCAUGCGGAGCCGUGCGCUUAUGCGGUAUUAGCACCUAUUUCUAAGUGUUAUCCCCCGGUAUACGGCAGGUUAUCCACGCGUUACUCACCCGUCCG